AGUGGACGCUGGCGGCGUGCCUAAUACAUGCAAGUCGAACGGAAUUUAAGAGGGCUUGCUCUUUUAAAUUUAGUGGCGCACGGGUGAGUAAUAUAUAGCUAAUCUGCCCCUUGCUGGAGGACAACAGUUAGAAAUGACUGCUAAUACUCCAUACUCCUUUUUACCAUAAGAUAAAUCGGGAAAGAAUUUCGGCAAGGGAUGAGACUAUAUCGUAUCAGCUAGUCGGUGGGGUAACGGCCUACCGAGGCUAUGACGCGUAACUGGUCUGAGAGGAUGAUCAGUCACAUUGGAACUGAGACACGGUCCAAACUCCUACGGGAGGCAGCAGUAGGGAAUAUUGCGCAAUGGGGGAAACCCUGACGCAGCAACGCCGCGUGGAGGAUGACACUUUUCGGAGCGUAAACUCCUUUUGUUAGGGAAGAAUAAUGACGGUACCUAACGAAUAAGCACCGGCUAACUCCGUGCCAGCAGCCGCGGUAAUACGGAGGGUGCAAGCGUUACUCGGAAUCACUGGGCGUAAAGGACGCGUAGGCGGAUUAUCAAGUCUCUUGUGAAAUCUAACGGCUUAACCGUUAAACUGCUUGGGAAACUGAUAAUCUAGAGUAAGGGAGAGGCAGAUGGAAUUCUUGGUGUAGGGGUAAAAUCCGUAGAUAUCAAGAAGAAUACCUAUUGCGAAGGCGAUCUGCUGGAACUUAACUGACGCUAAUGCGUGAAAGCGUGGGGAGCAAACAGG
rnacentral:rRNA from 1 species